rnacentral:tRNA from 1 species
UCUAAUUUGACAGACAAAUGUAAUGAGCUUAAAAUUCAUGUAUAAGGUUAUUUGCCUUAUUUAGAA